rnacentral:rRNA from 1 species
CCCUUAGAUGUCCUGGGCCGCACGCGCGUUACACUGAUGCAUUCAACGAGCUUAUAACCUUGGCCGAGAGGCCUGGGCAAUCUUGUUAACGUGCAUCGUGAUAGGGAUAGAUUAUUGAAAUUAUUAAUCUUGAACGAGGAAUUCCUAGUAAACGCAGAUCAUCAAUCUGCAUUGAUUACGUCCCUGCCCUUUGUACACACCGCCCGUCGCACCUACCGAUUGGAUGGUCCGGUGAAGCCUCGGGAUUGUGGUUCUUGCCGCUUUAUUGUGGCGUGACCGCGAGAACUUGUCUAAACCUUAUUAUCUAGAGGAAGGUGAAGUCGUANCA